ensembl:snRNA U4 U4 spliceosomal RNA
AGCUUUGGCAGUGGCAGUAUCAUAGCCAGUGGGGUUUAUCUGAGGUGCAAUUAUUACUAAUUGAAAACUUUUUCCAAAACACCGCAGUGACAACAUUGGCAAUUUUUGACAGUCUCUAUGGAUA